rnacentral:rRNA from 1 species
GAAACCGGAGCUAAUACCGGAUAAUAUUUUGAACCGCAUGGUUCAAAAGUAAAAGACGGUCUUGCUGUCACUUAUAGAUGGAUCCGCGCUGCAUUAGCUAGUUGGUAAGGUAACGGCUUACCAAGGCAACGAUGCAUAGCCGACCUGAGAGGGGUGAUCGGCCACACUGGAACUGAGACACGGUCCAG